CCCAGCCCAUGCUCUGUUCUUAUUCUCCGGCGAGAUUUUCUCAACUAUGUUUCUUCUCCGGCUUGAGGGAGUGGAUUUCCAUCACUGGAUUCUUGGAUAAAACGAGGAGAUGCAAGAUAGUCCACAACCGCAUGGGCCAAACCUACAGGCUAUAGCUGGAUUGGCCUUGUUAAGUGAUAAUAUAUUAAGAUCUGGAACAUUGUGGAGCAACGAGUGACAAAAGUAUUAGAUGAGAUCUGGAACAAUGCAGCUAACUCUUGGUUGACUGGACUUAUGAGGCGCAAGAUGAGUUCGUCCUAUGCUAGAAGGUGUGUGGGAUAUAGGAGAUACAAGGAGAGAUAUUUCAGUUGCAAUCCAGCUUUAUUUCAUUGUGAAACAUGAGAGAGCUACAUGGAGGUUUCACUGAGGGAGAUGGGGUUGAUGGAGAAGAAGAGGAAACAGAGGCGGGUGUUCUUGCGGCGCUCGGCUGGUUCCAAGACCGUGAGGGGAAGGACUUCAUGCUGCCCUCUGGAGGUGAAAGAGCAGAGGAUUCGGGAGAAGAAGCAACCAGAGGAGCCGGAGAACACGGCCCCUGUCCUGUAUAUCUGCCACAUCCCCCAUGCUUCUAUGAGUACCAGAUGCAAGGUUUCUCAGUAGCUUGGGGCUAUUAAGAAGAUGGUCUGUUGGUCAGUAUUGCCCGGAACUGCAAGAUAUCCUAUACUGCAUUAUUACAAGAUAUCUGGCGAUUUGUGUGUGUUUUCUGCAAGCCUCUAACUUGCUGUUUGGUCAUAUAUAUGUAGACAGGAAAAUCUAAGCAUUCAGAUAGUUAUAAGUACAUAUAUUUGCAACUAAACUGUACAUGAUGAUGAAUGAAUAUUAACUAAGUCAUUCACACAAAUAAAAAAGUAUACGGCAAGAGUGAAUAUCCAAUUAUCAGUUCAUGAAGUCAGACAGAUAAAAAAGCUGAUUCUUAAACACGAACAAAUAGAUAGAAUCUCGCACAAUUGCGACACCUUCGCCUUAUCGUUGUUACCUUUUCCGCUUCCCUUCUCUUUAUUCCCCUUAAUUCUGUUUAUCCUACCCCUAGAUCGAAUAUCAUUUGGCAGGUGGAUGUUAACUUCAUUAGUAAUGGUGCAACCAAUAAAUUCUUCAAACUCUUAUGGUACAGUUUGUUGUUUUGCUGGGACAUUCAGUUCGUUGCUUUCCAUCUCUAGAGAGCACGCCUCAUUCUGAUUGUUUAGUUUGAAUUAGCACAUUGAGGACAAAACAUCUCUUUUGGUUCCAUCUACUGCAGAACCUACUGGACAGAACAAAGUCGAGGGAAGAAGUAUGCGAGUCAAGUAUCCGUGAUGACCAACUGAUGAAAAUCACAUUUGAGUGGCCCAGUCGUUUGAUCUGCUCCAACACUACCGUUCCGGCUUUCAGAUUGAGUAACCUGUACCCACGUCUACUGCAAACCUACUAGACAGAAUAAAAUCGAGGGAAUAAGUAUAUAAACUCUUUAGUUAAUCAAGAUGAAUAGAUUUGCCUAUCCGCAGACAGCUCUGAAUCAGUUUUUACCCUUUCUUUUCUAGAAAGAUAAGAACAAUACCCAGUAUGAUCCUCUUCUUUUGUACCAGCUUCACUGAGGAGCCAAUUAGUACAAAAAUGUCUUUUGAAUUUCAUAGUUUUGGUCAUGAUGCCAUCAUACCGCAUGCAUGGUGCUUAUGCAACUAUAAGUCUAUAACUACAGAAAUGUACCUUUCUUUGCCUACAGCUAAAUAUGACCCGUCUUAGAUGGUUUGGAAGAA